CCUACGGGAGGCAGCAGUGAGGAAUAUUGGUCAAUGGGCGGAAGCCUGAACCAGCCAAGUAGCGUGCAGGAUGACGGCCCUACGGGUUGUAAACUGCUUUUAUACGGGAAUAACGCGCCUUACGUGUAGGGCUUUGCAUGUACCGUAUGAAUAAGGACCGGCUAAUUCCGUGCCAGCAGCCGCGGUAAUACGGAAGGUCCGGGCGUUAUCCGGAUUUAUUGGGUUUAAAGGGAGCGUAGGCCGCAUGUCAAGCCAGCUGUGAAAUUUUCGGGCUCAACCCGGGCAUUGCAGCGGAAACUGGCAGUCUUGAGUCCGGGAGAGGCAGGCGGAAUUCGUGGUGUAGCGGUGAAAUGCUUAGAUAUGACGAAGAACCCCGAUUGCGAAGGCAGCUUGCUGCAGCGGAACUGACGCUGAUGCUCGAAAGCGCGGGUAUCGAACAGGAUUAGAUACCCUUGUAGUC
rnacentral:rRNA from 1 species